rnacentral:rRNA from 1 species
AUUUUUAGCCACAGUUCUGGUAAAGUACCAACAUUUGUUAAUGGCUGAAGUUAAGCUUGGAAGCGUUCAAUUAGUACCAGAGUGGGAGACACACUCGGGAAUACUGGGUGCGUUGUAACUU